rnacentral:rRNA from 1 species
CGAGCGGCAGCACGGGGAGCUUGCUCCCUGGUGGCGAGCGGCGGACGGGUGAGUAAUGCAUAGGAAUCUGCCCGGUAGUGGGGGAUAACGUGGGGAAACCCACGCUAAUACCGCAUACGUCCUACGGGAGAAAGCGGAGGAUCUUCGGACUUCGCGCUAUCGGAUGAGCCUAUGUCGGAUUAGCUAGUUGGUAGGGUAACGGCUUACCAAGGCAACGAUCCGUAGCUGGUCUGAGAGGAUGAUCAGCCACACUGGGACUGAGACACGGCCCACACUCCUACGGGAGGCAGGAGUGGGGAAUAUUGGACAAUG